UUUAUCAACAGGGGGUGCUGUAAAAGGCUGAGAUUAUACCUUAGUGGAUCAGGAUAAUACCUGCGUCACAUUGUUUGUGUUUUUUCCU
rnacentral:ncRNA from 16 species